rnacentral:rRNA from 1 species
GGUUAAGUUAGAAAGGGCGCACGGUGGAUGCCUUGACACUAGGAGUCGAUGAAGGACGGGACUAACGCCGAUAUGCUUCGGGGAGCUGUAAGUAAGCUUUGAUCCGAAGAUUUCCGAAUGGGGAAACCCACCAUACGUAAUGGUAUGGUAUCCUUAUCUGAAUACAUAGGGUAAGGAAGACAGACCCAGGGAACUGAAACAUCUAAGUACCUGGAGGAAGAGAAAGCAAAUGCGAUUUCCUGAGUAGCGGCGAGCGAAACGGAACAUAGCCCAAACCAAGAGGCUUGCCUCUUGGGGUUGUAGGACAUUCUAUACGGAGUUACAAAGGAACGAGGUAGACGAAGCGACCUGGAAAGGUCCGUCGUAGAGGGUAACAACCCCGUAGUCGAAACUUCGUUCUCUCUUGAAUGUAUCCUGAGUACGGCGGAACACGUGAAAUUCCGUCGGAAUCUGGGAGGACCAUCUCCCAAGGCUAAAUACUCCCUAGUGAUCGAUAGUGAACCAGUACCGUGAGGGAAAGGUGAAAAGCACCCCGGAAGGGGAGUGAAAGAGAUCCUGAAACCGUGUGCCUACAAAUAGUCAGAGCCCGUUAACGGGUGAUGGCGUGCCUUUUGUAGAAUGAACCGGCGAGUUACGAUCCCGUGCGAGGUUAAGCUGAAGAGGCGGAGCCGCAGCGAAAGCGAGUCUGAAUAGGGCGUUUAGUACGUGGUCGUAGACCCGAAACCAGGUGAUCUACCCAUGUCCAGGGUGAAGUUCAGGUAACACUGAAUGGAGGCCCGAACCCACGCACGUUGAAAAGUGCGGGGAUGAGGUGUGGGUAGCGGAGAAAUUCCAAUCGAACCUGGAGAUAGCUGGUUCUCCCCGAAAUAGCUUUAGGGCUAGCCUUAAGUGUAAGAGUCUUGGAGGUAGAGCACUGAUUGGACUAGGGGUCCUCAUCGGAUUACCGAAUUCAGUCAAACUCCGAAUGCCAAUGACUUAUCCUUAGGAGUCAGACUGCGAGUGAUAAGAUCCGUAGUCAAAAGGGAAACAGCCCAGACCGCCAGCUAAGGUCCCAAAGUGUGUAUUAAGUGGAAAAGGAUGUGGAGUUGCUUAGACAACUAGGAUGUUGGCUUAGAAGCAGCCACCAUUUAAAGAGUGCGUAAUAGCUCACUAGUCGAGUGACUCUGCGCCGAAAAUGUACCGGGGCUAAAUACACCACCGAAGCUGCGGAUUGAUACCAAUGGUAUCAGUGGUAGGGGAGCGUUCUAAGGACAGUGAAGUCAGACCGGAAGGACUGGUGGAGUGCUUAGAAGUGAGAAUGCCGGUAUGAGUAGCGAAAGACGGGUGAGAAUCCCGUCCACCGAAUGCCUAAGGUUUCCUGAGGAAGGCUCGUCCGCUCAGGGUUAGUCAGGACCUAAGCCGAGGCCGACAGGCGUAGGCGAUGGACAACAGGUUGAUAUUCCUGUACCACCUCUUUAUCGUUUGAGCAAUGGAGGGACGCAGAAGGAUAGAAGAAGCGUGCGAUUGGUUGUGCACGUCCAAGCAGUUAGGCUGAUAAGUAGGCAAAUCCGCUUAUCGUAAAGGCUGAGCUGUGAUGGGGAAGCUCCUUAUGGAGCGAAGUCUUUGAUUCCCCGCUGCCAAGAAAAGCUUCUAGCGAGAUAAAAGGUGCCUGUACCGCAAACCGACACAGGUAGGCGAGGAGAGAAUCCUAAGGUGUGCGAGAGAACUCUGGUUAAGGAACUCGGCAAAAUGACCCCGUAACUUCGGGAGAAGGGGUGCUUUCUUAACGGAAAGCCGCAGUGAAUAGGCCCAAGCGACUGUUUAGCAAAAACACAGCUCUCUGCGAAGCCGUAAGGCGAAGUAUAGGGGGUGACACCUGCCCGGUGCUGGAAGGUUAAGGAGAGGGGUUAGCGUAAGCGAAGCUCUGAACUGAAGCCCCAGUAAACGGCGGCCGUAACUAUAACGGUCCUAAGGUAGCGAAAUUCCUUGUCGGGUAAGUUCCGACCCGCACGAAAGGUGUAACGAUUUGGGCACUGUCUCAACCAGAGACUCGGUGAAAUUAUAGUACCUGUGAAGAUGCAGGUUACCCGCGACAGGACGGAAAGACCCCGUGGAGCUUUACUGUAGCCUGAUAUUGAAUUUUGGUACAGUUUGUACAGGAUAGGCGGGAGCCAUUGAAACCGGAGCGCUAGCUUCGGUGGAGGCGCUGGUGGGAUACCGCCCUGACUGUAUUGAAAUUCUAACCUACGGGUCUUAUCGACCCGGGAGACAGUGUCAGGUGGGCAGUUUGACUGGGGCGGUCGCCUCCUAAAGUGUAACGGAGGCGCCCAAAGGUUCCCUCAGAAUGGUUGGAAAUCAUUCGUAGAGUGCAAAGGCAUAAGGGAGCUUGACUGCGAGACCUACAAGUCGAGCAGGGACGAAAGUCGGGCUUAGUGAUCCGGUGGUUCCGCAUGGAAGGGCCAUCGCUCAACGGAUAAAAGCUACCCCGGGGAUAACAGGCUUAUCUCCCCCAAGAGUCCACAUCGACGGGGAGGUUUGGCACCUCGAUGUCGGCUCAUCGCAUCCUGGGGCUGUAGUCGGUCCCAAGGGUUGGGCUGUUCGCCCAUUAAAGCGGUACGCGAGCUGGGUUCAGAACGUCGUGAGACAGUUCGGUCCCUAUCCGUCGUGGGCGUAGGAAAUUUGAGAGGAGCUGUCCUUAGUACGAGAGGACCGGGAUGGACGCACCGCUGGUGUACCAGUUGUUCUGCCAAGGGCAUAGCUGGGUAGCUAUGUGCGGAAGGGAUAAGUGCUGAAAGCAUCUAAGCAUGAAGCCCCCCUCAAGAUGAGAUUUCCCAUAGCGUAAGCUAGUAAGAUCCCUGAAAGAUGAUCAGGUUGAUAGGUUCGAGGUGGAAGCAUGGUGACAUGUGGAGCUGACGAAUACUAAUAGAUCGAGGACUUAACCAUAUA